ensembl:lncRNA
GUAGAAUCAUUACUAUGUCCCUAUUUUGCUAAAUAUUAAUACCUUUUUUAAUGCCAUCAUCACCGCCAUUGUUUUGUCUUUCGUCUUCCUCCCUGGUCUUCAUAAUCGGUCCCUCUCCGUAUACUCUCUUCUUGUUGGCGUCCUCUUCUGCUUCGAGUGUUGACUUUCUAUGUCGUUAUCUUACCUCUGAUCUGAGGCGAAGCUUCAGACCUGCCUGCAUAUUUACAUGAGCAAACGGUCAGCGCCGUUAGGUUGAUGCACCUGAGAUACUGCUGCUGCUGCUGCGUGGUGUCUUGUGUGAGUGUGCCCUCUGCCCUGUGUCCCAGUGCCCGCUGAUUUUGAGGCAGCCAGGCCAGAGGACUCUCAAGAGGCAGGAAGACCUGAGCAGAACAGCCCCACCCCAAACCCCACUCACACCCCCACUGAAACGCUGUGUCCCAAACGACCCCCUCCUCCCGUUUCAAGGGGAGAGGGUUUAGGCACUGUGGCUCCAGCAACUAAGACCGGCUGUGAGUAACUGGGCUGGUGGAUUGCAGUGCUGGUUUGCGGGAUUGCAGUGCAUGCGACAGCUGGGCCUAGCGAGGAGUGUUCAGAGGCCGAGGCUGAGCAGAACUCUCAGACUAAAUCUGAGACUAAACCAGGUACAUCUUGAGAGGACAGUGAAAUAACUACCGUAGCGCUGCAGCUGUACAUCUAGUUCUGUCCGUUUUAGUGACCUCCAUCAUAGACAGUUAUUGUGUGAGUUUAUUCUGCUGUUUGCCAAUUUCCUUCAGAUUUGUGGAAAUUGAGCCAUUUCCCGAGUAGCUGCACUGUGUGAGUCGGAAGUCUGAUGGCUGAACUGGACUGUUCAUAUUCAUUAGACCAGAGUAAUCUGUCCUCACAUUGUGUGUGAGGGGGAGAAGAUAUGGGCUGGCAUUUAGACUCAAUAUCCCUGUCGAGUCUGAGAUGGCUCUCAGCAAAGCCGGGAGCCUUUUGAGGAGCUGGUUAAGGGGAUCUUGAAUGCCAGCCGGCUUUAUAAGACUUACUUCGCCAAAUGUCAAAACUCUGCCCUUUGGAGGGACCCUGCAAACUCUAAAGCAUGGCUCCACACACACACACGCACACACACACACACACACAUGUUCCAAUCUGCACUCAAUUUAAAACAAAAUAAAACAUGUUAUCGUCACCAAUGUCAUCGUGUCAACGCUUAUCACAUGACUGCUCAGCUACAGCAGAUUUGCCAUCGUUGUUUGAUGUGUUCUCUGUGCGUACCAUGUGCCACGCGCUACCUCAAAUAUACACUGAAUGAAUUAUGCAAUGGUCUGUGCAGUGUCUGUGUGUCUAACUGCACUGUCUACUCUGGUUUGUGUCUUGUCUCUUGUUUUGUCUGGUGCAAUGCCAGAGAUAGUCACGCAGGAUGAUGGUGCAGGUUUGUGCACAGCCUGUGUGUGUGUCUUGCGCUGUGCUUCCAGCCUCAACUUUUGUAUGUGCGCAUUUGUGUCUCUUUUCCAAGUGUAUCGAUUUGUCUUUUGUGUGCGAUGAGUCAUCAAGGUCGAAGAAUUGAAACAUAAUUUCUAGAGAACCAAAUGUAUAAGUUUAUACUUUGUAAGUUAGUACAAUUCACCACCUCCUUAUAUAUUCUCCCUCUUGACUUUCUUUUGGCCUCGGAGUCUCGGCUCAUCCUCGUCAUUUAUGCAACACUGCAGCGCACUGCAGUCUGCUGCGAACUGACCUUAUCAGAG